rnacentral:rRNA from 1 species
ACGUAGGUGGCAAGCGUUGUCCGGAAUUACUGGGUGUAAAGGGAGCGCAGGCGGGGAUUCAAGUUGGAUGUGAAAUGUCAUGGCUUAACUAUGGCCCUGCAUCCAAAACUGAAUUUCUUGAGUGAAGUAGAGGCAAGCGGAAUUCCGAGUGUAGCGGUGAAAUGCGUAGAUAUUCGGAGGAACACCAGUGGCGAAGGCGGCUUGCUGGGCUUUAACUGACGCUGAGGCUCGAAAGUGUGGGGAGCAAACAG